UAAAGUGGACAGGGCUUUAAGGUAUAGAGGGAAAAUGUGGGGUGAAAUACGCCCCCCCCCCCCGAAAAAAACACUAAACAAACUUUUGAAAAUCCGACCUAACCUAACCUUAAAAAAUCCUAAAACUAUAAUUUUUUUUACAUUACUUAUAUUUUUGGUGUUUUGUAACUGACGGUGUAUACCAGGUGAAGCCGUGACCACUUGAACUGCCUCAGCAUUGUUUUAAAUAAAUUAGAUAAUUUCAGACAUACUGUACAUACUUGUACAAAUAUACCUAUAAUGCCAUGAUAUAUUGUGUUGUCAAUCUGUGGAAGUCAUCUUCAGUAUUGUCAAUUUACAACCACCAUAAAAUAUUUUUGACUUUAUUACUUUACAUGUUAAUGGUAUUUAUUAAGUGUCUUUUUUUUCCCUGACUUUUGUCCAUUCACAGAACAUAACUUGGCACUUAAAUUACAGUAAUUUGUUUGGAGUGAUUUACCCCUUAUAUCUUAUAUAUGUACAUACUGUACAUCACUGCCAGAACAUCCAUGUCAUAAUUGUUAACUAAUGCUCUGUCCUUCCUCUGCACUCCAGACAGUCACGAGGAUUGAGUCACAAGUCACUAAUUGACAUCUUCUCUCUUGUACAGGAAAAGACAUUGUGACGCUACAUCUCAGGAGCAAAUGUGAUGCUAAGUACACAAUGUCCUGUGGGAAAAAAACAUACUCCUGUGAGGAAUGUGGCAAGUCAUUUGGCUGGAAGAGUUCUCUUAAGAAACACAUAAUUGCACACAAUAGUGUGAUGAAUGUGGGAAACAUUUUUCAGACAAGGGUUAUCUCAAGAGACAUAUUCUUGUUGUUCACUGUGGUGUUAAAAACUUUAAAUGUGAUGAAUGUGGGAAACAUUUUUUCAGGGGAGGCUCAUCUCAAGAACCACAUUCUUGCUGUUCACUGUGGUGUUAAUAACUGUAAAUGUGAUGAAUGUGGGAAACAUUUUUCAUGAAAUAGUCAUCUCAAGAACCAUAUUGAGUCUGUUCACUGUGGUAUUAAAAAUUUAAAUGUGAUGAAUGUGGGAAACAUUUUUCAGGGAAGGGUUCUCUCAAGAACCACAUUCUUGCUGUUCACUGUGGUGUUAAAAAUUUUAAAUGUGAUGAAUGUGGGAAACAUUUUUCAGGGGAGGCUCAUCUCAAGAACCACAUUCUUGUUGUUCACUGUGGUGUUAAUAACUGUAAAUGUGAUGAAUGUGGGAAACAUUUUUCAUGAAAUAGUCAUCUCAAGAACCAUAUUGAGUCUGUUCACUGUGGUAUUAAAAAUUUAAAUGUGAUGAAUGUGGGAAACAUUUUUCAGGGAAGGGUUCUCUCAAGAACCACAUUCUUGCUGUUCACUGUGGUGUUAAAAAUUUUAAAUGUGAUGAAUGUGGGAAACAUUUUUCAGGCAAGGGUCAUCUCAAGAACCACAUUCUUGCUGUUCACAGUGGUGUUAAAAACUUUAAAUGUGAUGAAUGUGGGAAACAUUUUUCCAUGAAGGGCAAUCUCAGGAGUCAUUUACUUGUGCAUGAAAAAAAUAUGAUUAAAUAAAUUUUUGAAUCAGUUCAGCAGAAGAGUAAUGUGACACUUGAAUACAUCAACUUAACACCACUUGAGCAAACUUUAUGAAUGUAGCCCAAGAUGUUAUUACCAUAUUUACUCAUGCAUAAACUGGUCUCAUAUGCAGUUUGAUCCCUGAUUUUCUUGUUAAAUAAUUGUGAGCUUUUCAUAUAGCUCUUGUAUAAUAUGACCCUAGCUUUUGAGAAAUACUGUACAGUACAAGGUACCGGUAUAAUCCCAGACAUAAUUAGUAGAAAGACGCCAGAUUCUCACCAGUACGUCUUGGCCGUGAUCACCACCAUGACAGCAGACGCUAUGAACAGUGUUACCACCUCUAAAACUGAAUUACUGUCAGAAUCUUAUUAGCUGUGUUGUUUUUUAAUGAGUUCAGUAUUAAGUUUAUAAGGAAAAAU